UCUUCCAUGAAGACUGCCCUUUGCAUGCCUCGCGUCUCUUCUGAAGGGGUUCGGCUAUCAUAAAAAUGUCCUUAAAAGUUCCCUGAGCUCCCGAAGCAUAUAUUCGAGGCUUUCGUAGUCUUUCUUCGACUCUGCCCGUAGACUCACUAAAGAUGGUCAGUGGUCGACAAUAUACUUUCAAGGCGAGUGAAAGCAAAGGAAAGGAGACAAAUAAGCCGUACUGUCGUAAUAUAGUUGAACACAUUACUGCGUGAAAUGAGUGCACAUCAGCGCAGCUCGGCAUUGGGAGCACUUCUUCGCAAUUUGAAAACUUGCAGGAUAUAUUUUCACCAUACAUCGUUCGUAAAUUUCGAGAAUACGUAUAUUUUUUUAUACUCGAGCCAGCCAAGUCGACUUCCCUUCUGAGCUGAAUUCUUUUUCAAGUUUGCGUAAUAUUUGUUACGCUAAAGAAGUUCACACUAUUAUUUCUAAGCAUAGCGCACAAUUUUUAACACGACAGCGUUAACGGCCGCGUGUCGCAGAAAAUCCGGCGUCGACGUCCAGCGUCGACCAUCUUUUCACAAGAAAUCAUAUCGAAGCAGGGUCAUUCCAUGCGAAACGUCCCACACCCAAAGGCGACCAUCAUUGAUCUUUUCUUGAAAAAAUUGAGCUACAUGGCUAUUGUGUGACUAAGGCUUCACCAAAGUAUUUUCGUCGAAAAAGAAGUUUUGAUCACGUGAGCGCACUUUGAAGUUUCCGCAAAGGUGCAAAAGUUGGUUGGAGGUACGUUUUUUUUUUAUUCUAAUCUGAAACUAGGCGCAAUAACAAAUUUAUUUUAGUGCAUUGUAUUGGCAUCCUUCUUUCACAUGACGUCAUAAUUGAAUGCAUCUUAGAGUUUUCCGUGUUUAUUUGGCUCACUAAAAAGCAAUAAAACUUGCGUUUUAGAAAUUUUUUUCAUAAACUGCGUCACUUCUUCAGCUACCAUAAUUUUUCUCCUUUUUUUCCUGUUACUACAAUGUCUGCUAAAUAAAUUGAAAUUAUUAAUAAAUAUAUUUUUUGAGGAAUAUACCUCCAAAAUUGGCAAGAAGUGAAUUUCUUGCGAUAUUGACACGUGAACUCGUUUAUUUGUUACGGGUGAGCGCUUUUACCGUCCACGAAAUCUUAUCGCUCAGCGCAGACGCGUCUACACGUGUCGGAAGUUUCUAGAAUGUUAUCGGUGCUUCUAUCCGCUGUCUGUCAUCGCCGAACCAUAGAGAAAUUCAACAAGAGGGAACACUCUUCAAAAGCUGGCAGCAGGAAACACGUCACGCCUAGUUUCAACUCCAUCCGUUAGUUGACGCGAGCAUCAGAAAAAAAGAAUGUGAAAUAAACUUCCAGACAACGUUUCAUUUCUUUUAUUCUUUCCAACUAAAAGUCACAAAGUUUUGCGUGUAAAUGAACUUAUACUUUGCAACUUAUUUUUCUUGCGUUGCCUAGCAACAAGCUAGCGGCACGCCAGACGCGCGUACAUACGUCAGGCGCCAGACAAGCCGCAGGAGUGAGCGAGGCCGGCUGCGGAUGUGAAGCUCGCGUGCUCGGCGACCCGUCUCUUUUGGAUGUAGCCCGUUUUUUGGGCUCCCGGCGUGCUCUUGUGUUCCGUCUGCAUUUCGACACGGCACCGCUGCACUAAUGGACUACAGCAAGCUGAUGGCAUCCGGUGGAGCUUCGUACGGCAACGACUGCUGCUUACCUGGUGCCCCAACAUUGGAUGAAUGUAGAAGAAAUCCGAAACGAGUAUUUAUAUAGAACAAAAUAAACGUUUCAUCAUUUCAGAA